ensembl:lincRNA
GCCGCCGCACGCCCGUAGCCGGGGUUGGGUGCCAUGUUGCCGGACGCUCACCGGUCUGGUGACCUUCGGUGCUUUAUCUCGAUGGAUUUUGUGCCCGUGUUAGCAAGAUGUGUCCGAAGGGAUCAGAGAAGUCUCAGAGGCGAUUUCUUUGGGUUUAUCUAUUUUAGAAAGAGCAGAAGAGCGUGAGCAGGAGGGGCAGAGGGAGAGGGAGCGAGAAUCUUGAGCAGACUCCGUGCCGAGCACGCAGCCCCACGCCGGCCUCCAUCUCACCACCCUGAGGUCACCACCUGAGACGAAGCCAAGAGUUGGAUGCUCAGCUGCCUGUGUCGCUCAGACGCCCCAGAGGAGGUUGACUUUAGAGGACACAGCAAGAUGAAUGAGUACAUUGACAGUGCUGGAAACCAGAUUCUCAUGUAUCAGAAGACAAAAAUAUGGAAUAAGAAUAAGUUAGCUUACACAGGAAAAAAUGUGUUGAUCACAGAGAUUCUGAGAAAGUACCAUUCCAGAGCCUGUGGUAUCUUACGGCAAAUCAGUAAGUCACUUCGAGUUGUGUCUGGGCUUCCCACAUUGCUUGAGCAGAGGAAAGAACACAGAUCUUGUAGAAGACUGGUGGAUUAAAACUGUAGGAAAGGAGGGGGCUGCAAACAGAAGCAUUAGUCCAACGGUCUCCACUCAUCUGCCUUCAGUGACUUCUUAAGAGAAGUUCAAAUGUUUUCAUGUCAUCUGGGGACCCUGCCUGGGACUCCAGCUACCUUUUAGGGAUUCAUCUGACUUUUAAAGAAUUGUCAGUUACAAGUGUGGGUUGGGGGCGCCUGGGCGGCUCAGUGGGUUAAAGCCUCUGCUUUUGGCUUAGGUCAUGAUCCCAAGGUCCUGGGAUCAAGCCCGGAUCAGGCUCUCUGCUCAGCAGGGAGCCUGCUUCCUCCUCUCUCUCUGCCUGUCCCUCUGCCUUCUUAUGAUCUCUGUCUGUCAAAUAAAUAAAAUCUUUAAAAAAAUGUUUGGGUCAUUCUGGAAGGGUUAGAGAAUGCUGGGUAAUGUCGGUGGCGAUACAUGUCAGUGGGAAUGUGUUGGGGAAGAUUUCUUUCCUCUGGACACCUUGCUGGGUGGGGUUUGCUUUAGAAAUGAGCAGAUUUGAGAGUUUUGUUUUGAUUUUGGACAGAAGAGAGAAAGGUGUAAAGAAAUGGGGGAUUCAAGAGAGACUUAAAACUCUUGUUUUUAGGGAGUGGGUAAGGCCAUGACACCUAACUAUGGUGGGGGAGAACCUAAGACUUUGAAGAACCAGGAGGACUCUGGGAGGUUCAGCUGUGCCACGGGUUAUGUUGGCAUUUCCGGAUUGGCUUAGUCAGGUAACCAACAAUUAUCAUCUUGUUCUUCUGGAAAAAAAAAAAUGCAGCCUGAGCUCCAAAUAAGUAGCCAGGAAGGAACUUUUCGGUUAUAAUCCAUUGGCACUGAGUUCUUAAAUGGUGAACUUCCUAUAUUGGAUCUUGGGAAAAAAAAAGAGAAAGUCCCAGGAAACGUUUGGUAUGGCACUGGUGGGGGAAAAGAUAGGACAGAACCACUGAGCAUAUUCGGUGUUAAAGCUGGGAAGGCAGUUCCUGGGGCCUGGGACAGACAGUGACCUGCUGAAAAGCCCGACCAGCACGGACCUGUCCAGAGAUGCGGCAGAAAGAUGUCCUGCGUUUAAAGAGAGGAAGUUUCCGGUGGGCACUCGGGUUAUGCUGACGUUAAACGCUGGGUUCUCAGGACAACCCGGGGCCUCGGUCUGAGUCUACCUGGCAGUUCUCCCGCGAGGGACAGACAGGUAAGAACUCAGCAGGAGAAGCCAAGCCUCGGGUGGGGGAAGUCAGCGUGAGGAGAGGGAUACAGACAGAGCUGGGGGGUUAGGUCUGAGGGACAAUCCAGCGGGGUUGGGGGAGAGUGAAAGGGAAGGGGUAGGGGCGUCGAGGGAGGGGACCCAGGCAGGAGGAGCGGUCCCAGCAAGGGAGCGGUGUGGGCGCCGGCGGAGAAGGAAGGCUCGAGAGGAGAGGGCCGCGCUGGGGAGGGCAGCGGGCGCGAGGAAGCCGUCUCUGCCGCGCCGUGGGCUCCCN